GGGUCAGUUAGAGUUGGAACAAGAUCUUGAAUACUUUUUGGUAUAGGACUAAAUACAAACCAACCCAAUAUCAUAUUAAUUCUCCUCACCCCACAUUUUAUCAUAAGAAUUUCUCAUGCCCCAUAGGAUGUUGCUCCCCCUUUUUUCCUCCCGUGGAAAAUAAAGAGGCAUCCCAUCUCCUCUUUCUGGUCACCCAAAACAAGGAGCGGGCGUCCAAGAGUUGGAUGCCCCAAG
rnacentral:lncRNA from 1 species